UGAGGAAUAUUGGACAAUGGAUGGAAAUCUGAUCCGGCCAUGCCGCGUGCAGGAAGACGGCCCUAUGGGUUGUAAACUGCUUUUGUAUGGGAGCAAUAAGGACUACGUGUAGUUUGAUGAGAGUACCAUACGAAUAAGCAUCGGCUAACUCCGUGCCAGCAGCCGCGGUAAUACGGAGGAUGCGAGCGUUAUCCGGAUUUAUUGGGUUUAAAGGGUGCGUAGGCGGCGAUAUAAGUCAGUGGUGAAAUAUUUCGGCUUAACCGAGAGACUGCCAUUGAUACUGUGUUGCUAGAAUAUGGUUGCUGUGAGUGGAAUGUGGGGUGUAGCGGUGAAAUGCUUAGAUAUCACACAGAAUAUCGAUUGCGAAGGCAGCUCACAAAGCCAUUAUUGGCGCUGAGGCACGAAAGUGUGGGGAUCAAACA
rnacentral:rRNA from 1 species